CCUACGGGCGGCAGCAGUGAGGAAUAUUGGUCAAUGGGCGAGAGCCUGAACCAGCCAAGUCGCGUGAAGGAUGACGGCCCUACGGGUUUUAAACUUCUUUUGUCGGGGAGCCAUUGGGUCCACGCGUGGGCUUAGCGAGAGUACCUGAAGAAAAAGCAUCGGCUAACUCCGUGCCAGCAGCCGCGGUAAUACGGAGGAUGCGAGCGUUAUCCGGAUUUAUUGGGUUUAAAGGUUGCGUAGGCGGAAUAUCAAGUCAGCGGGAAAAAUUCGGGGCUAAACCCCGUCGUGCCGUUGAAACUGAUGUUCUGGAGUGUGCGAGAAGUAUGCGGAAUGCGUGGUGUAGCGGUGAAAUGCAUAGAUAUCAAGAAGAAUUCUGAUUGCGAAGGCAGCAUACCGGAGCCCAACUGACGCUGAAGCACGAAAGCGUGGGUAUCGAACAGGAUUAGAUACCCGAGUAGUC
rnacentral:rRNA from 1 species